rnacentral:rRNA from 1 species
UGGGGAAUAUUGGACAAUGGGGGAAACCCUGAUCCAGCGAUGCCGCGUGAGUGAAGAAGGCCUUCGGGUCGUAAAGCUCUUUAGGUUGGGAAGAAGGGUGUUGAGCGAAUACCUCAGCACUUUGACGGUACCGACAGAAUAAGCACCGGCAAACUCUGUGCCAGCAGCCGCGGUAAUACAGAGGGUGCGAGCGUUAAUCGGAUUUACUGGGCGUAAAGGGCGCGUAGGCGGUUCCAUGAGUGUGAUGUGAAAGCCCUGGGCUUAACCUAGGAAGUGCAUCGCAAACGAUGGAACUGGAGUAUAUGAGAGGGUGGCGGAAUUUCCGGUGUAGCGGUGAAAUGCGUAGAGAUCGGAAGGAACGUCGAUGGCGAAGGCAGCCACCUGGCAUAAUACUGACGCU